UCAGUGGUACAUGAUGACUUAAUCUUUUUCCCCCAUCUUAUCGGCAAUGCUGAUAAAACAUGCGUUAUAGCCAGAUGGUCUGAUUCCACUGA
ensembl:snoRNA small nucleolar SNORD12/SNORD106